GAAGACUCAGACGUGGCAAAGGCCUCUCAAGAAACGCUGCUUCGUGUGGCCGAGUUCCUGAAGAGGAGGAAGCUGGUACAGCUGUUGAAGAAGCAGCCGCCGAUGAAUGUCGAGGAGUGCCUGCUGGCAGAGGACAGGAGCCAAGCGGCCGAAC